rnacentral:tRNA from 1 species
UUCCCAGUGGUCCAAGGGUUUAAACUCUGCACUUCCACUGCAGAGGGUGCAGGUUCAAUACCUGGUGGGGAAA